AGCGAACGCUGGCGGCAGGCUUAACACAUGCAAGUCGAGCGGGCACUUCGGUGUCAGCGGCAGACGGGUGAGUAACACGUGGGAACGUACCCUUUGGUUUGGAAUAACGCUGGGAAACUAGCGCUAAUACCGGAUACGCCCUUUUGGGGAAAGGCUUGCUGCCGAAGGAUCGGCCCGCGUCUGAUUAGCUAGUUGGUGGGGUAAUGGCCUACCAAGGCGACGAUCAGUAGCUGGUCUGAGAGGAUGAUCAGCCACACUGGGACUGAGACACGGCCCAGACUCCUACGGGAGGCAGCAGUGGGGAAUAUUGGACAAUGGGCGCAAGCCUGAUCCAGCCAUGCCGCGUGAGUGAUGAAGGCCUUAGGGUUGUAAAGCUCUUUUGUCCGGGACGAUAAUGACGGUACCGGAAGAAUAAGCCCCGGCUAACUUCGUG
rnacentral:rRNA from 1 species